UAUCUCUCCGUACGGGGAAGGAUGAGAAGCUUCGACUAAGGUUCGAUUCGAGCGCAGCGAGAAAACGUUGCCGCAGGCAACGACCCGAAGGGUGAG
rnacentral:sRNA from 1 species